rnacentral:rRNA from 1 species
CCUACGGGAGGCAGCAGUGGGGAAUAUUGCGCAAUGGGCGAAAGCCUGACGCAGCGACGCCGCGUGAGGGACGAAGGCCUUCGGGUUGUAAACCUCUUUCAGCAGGGACGAAGCGAAAGUGACGGUACCUGCAGAAGAAGCACCGGCCAACUACGUGCCAGCAGCCGCGGUAAUACGUAGGGUGCAAGCGUUGUCCGGAAUUAUUGGGCGUAAAGAGCUCGUAGGCGGUCUGUUGCGUCGGCUGUGAAAACUCGGGGCUCAACCCCGGGCCUGCAGCCGAUACGGGCAGACUAGAGUUCGGCAGGGGAGACUGGAAUUCCUGGUGUAGUGGUGAAAUGCGCAAAUAUCAGGAGGAACACCGGUGGCGAAGGCGGGUCUCUGGGCCGAUACUGACGCUGAGGAGCGAAAGCGUGGGGAGCGAACAGGAUUAGAUACCCUGGUAGUCCACGCCGUAAACGUUGGGCGCUAGGUGUGGGUUCCCUUCCACGGGAUCCGUGCCGCAGCUAACGCAUUAAGCGCCCCGCCUGGGGAGUACGGCCGCAAGGCUAAAACUCAAAGGAAUUGACGGGGGCCCGCACAAGCGGCGGAGCAUGUGGCUUAAUUCGAGGCAACGCGAAGAACCUUACCUGGGUUUGACAUGCAGGGAAAUCUCCCAGAGAUGGGAGGUCCGCAAGGGCCUUGCACAGGUGGUGCAUGGCUGUCGUCAGCUCGCGUCGUGAGAUGUUGGGUUAAGUCCCGCAACGAGCGCAACCCUCGUCCUAUGUUGCCAGCACAUCAUGGUGGGGACUCAUAGGAGACUGCCGGGGUCAACUCGGAGGAAGGUGGGGAUGACGUCAAGUCAUCAUGCCCCUUAUGUCCAGGGCUGCACACAUGCUACAAUGGCCGGUACAAAGGGCUGCUAAACCGCGAGGUGGAGCGAAUCCCAAAAAGCCGGUCUCAGUUCGGAUCGGGGUCUGCAACUCGACCCCGUGAAGUCGGAGUCGCUAGUAAUCCCAGAUCAGCAACGCCGCGUGGAAUACGUUCCCGAG